rnacentral:rRNA from 1 species
UACGAAGGGGGCUAGCGUUGUUCGGAAUUACUGGGCGUAAAGCGUAUGCAGGCGGAUCGUUAAGUCGGGGGUGAAAUCCCGAGGCUCAACCUCGGAACUGCCUUCGAUACUGGCGAUCUUGAGUCCGGGAGAGGUGAGUGGAACUCCGAGUGUAGAGGUGAAAUUCGUAGAUAUUGGGAAGAACACCAGUGGCGAAGGCGGCUAACUGGUCCGGUACUGACGCUGAGGUGCGAAAGCGUGGGGAGCAAACAGG